GAUGAAGAACGCAGCGAAAUGUGAUAAGUAAUGUGAAUUGCAGAAUUCAGUGAAUCAUCGAAUCUUUGAACGCACAUUGCGCCCUCUGGUAUUCCGGGGGGCAUGCCUGUUCGAGCGUCAUUAUAACCACUCAAGCUCUCGCUUGGUAUUGGGGUUCGCGGUUCCGCGGCCCCUAAAAUCAGUGGCGGUGCCUGUCGGCUCUACGCGUAGUAAUACUCCUCGCGAUUGAGUCCGGUAGGUCUACUUGCCAGCAACCCCCAAUUUUUACAGGUUGACCUCGGAUCAGGCAGGGAUACCCGCUGAACUUAAGCAUAUCAAUAAGCGGAGGA
rnacentral:misc_RNA from 1 species